AGAGAUGCACUGGGUGUAAAGCGUGCGCAGGCGGUUUUGUAAGACAGAGGUGAAAUCCCCGGGCUCAACCUGGGAACUGCCUUUGUGACUGCAAGGCUAGAGUACGGCAGAGGGGGAUGGAAUUCCGCGUGUAGCAGUGAAAUGCGUAGAUAUGCGGAGGAACACCGAUGGCGAAGGCAAUCCCCUGGGCCUGUACUGACGCUCAUGCACGAAAGCGUGGGGAGCAAACA
rnacentral:rRNA from 1 species